AUUCUGCAGCACUACACAGAGAUUUUUCAUCAUUCACAUCAGUUCCUGCCCCAGUGGAGCUUACAAUCUACAGUCCCUAUCAUAUUUAGAGUGUGGAAGCCAAUCAGAUUUUUGCUUUAAUAAAGGUGACUGCUACCUACUAAUUGAUUGCUAUUGGUAACUAGACCUGCUCCAAGUGUUGGUGCAUUAUCCCUUAUAUGCCAGACCAAUCAAUAACCGCUACUGUAAUGCAGGACCCAGUUCAUCUGUAGCUCUAUUGGCAGCAAAAUGGCAAGUACAAAACAGCAAGUAAAAUGGGCAAACUCUCCCUGGGUGCCACUACCUUUAGAGAGCCCAAUACCUUAGCCAGUAUGCCAUUCUUUAUAACUAUUAACCAAUAUGGAGGUGGAUCAAAUGCAAAAGAAAUGUGGAUUAAAACAGAGAAUAUGUUCAUUGUAGGCAGAGGAAGAGGAUAGAGACCUACAGUAUGGCCGAUCCUCCAGACAUCGAGGGGCCUCCAAAAAGAAUGCGAAUCGAGGAGGAGGAGAGUGAGAGUCCUGCGCAUUCUGACAGGCAAGAAAAGAGACCAUACAGUGAGGCCAUGUCUCCUUCAAUUGCCAGACCUUGGAAGAGAAUGCGCAGGGGGGAGGCCAGUGAUGAUUUAGAUUUGUCUGAAUCUGAAAAUCCACAGGGUUCAGCCCAAACAAAUACACACCCUUAAUCAUGUGACAGUGAGGCUCAGAAAAACCCAGUGUUACAAUGAUUUGCUUGAUAUGCAAUUUAACUGUGGAAUUUGGGAACCUGCAAAUGAUGAUUGGGUGCAGCUCUGCAGCGAAUGGGAAGAGGAGCAGAGUAUUCACAAGCUCAUUUAUUUUAUUCAUUAUUGAAAAUAAAGCAGUCAAAGCAGCCCUGGAAAUGGACUUGUGCAUGAAGACAACGGACAAGGUAAUUUCUUUAACACAAAAGCUUGGGGUGGGCAGCAAAAUAGGAUCUGUAACAUCCCUACAUUAACAAGUGCCUACUUAUGUGCUACCGUUUAUUUUAGUUUUUGCUUUCUAUUGUAUUCAAAAAGAUCACAUUAAUAGAAGUAGUAAGAGAACAAGGCAAGUAUGGGGCGCACAGUAAUAUAAUGGCUCCCCGGUGCCAGGGGAAAUCCCCAGCAUUCUGAAUGGCGCACAACUCUUUGGGCUCUGUGCUACGGGCAAAUUGCAUCGAGGGAAGAGGCAAAGUACAAAAAGAAAAAAGACAAAUUCGUUUUCUGCUCUCAACAAUUUAUUCAUACAUUUUUGCUAAAAUCUUCUGAGCUUUGAAGAGGGAUCCAGCCAUGUAACUACUAAAUCAGGUCCUGCUGAUAACCCAGAAUGAAUGCAGUUAUACAUGAAACAGGCCAGACAUAAAUAAGCUGAACAGGGGACAAAUGGGCAAAUACCCUGACCAUUCUGUACUCCUGUCUUUCCUUUAAACCCAUAAAUAAUCUAUAGUGAAAUUCCAGGAAUUACAUUAUUUAUGUUUGUGUCAGAUAGGAACCUGUAUAGUGUGGGGAUCAGGCAACAAAGAACUGAUAGCACUACAGCCUGACAUUAGGGAAUGAGCAGGGGGGUACUGUUUGUUCUUUUAAUUAUAUCUCAACUUCUAAUGCCUUUAGGUUACUCGCCAACGAAAUGGAGGAGGAUGUACCAUUCCCUCAAAUAAUAUACAGAUUUGUCAACGGGAAAGAAUGGUGCACAAAAUGGAAGUAUCUGAGGGAGAGGCAAAUGGAGCUGUGAGCCAGGAUGAAUUUCAAAGUUUGGGUGAGCAGAACAUCAUGUGGAGAGGUGCAUAUUGCUAUGUAUACAAUAUACAGCUCUUUGGCCUAGUAGUUAAAGGGAACCUAUUGGUGUCAAACGGUUUCCCCCCACAUUUGUGCUUUUAUGUUUAGGUCUUUUAAUAAACAACUAUGCAUUUGUGGUUUUAGUGAAAAAGGAGUUUGUGGUUUUGAAAAACUCUAAAACCACUAAAAUCUGAAUGUUGAUAAAUGGACCUCCCUAUAUAUAUAAAACUGGGCAACAAUAUAGAACAUGAGUUUACUUAAGAUAGAUUGGGCGUCAAUGGCAUGUUUAUACAGAAUAGGCUACACAAAAUCUAAGUGAUAAAGUUAUAUUUUCAUCAGUAUGUGGAAUGGAAUCAGAGUAAAACUAUUUUUUUUUCGUUUUCCUUCAGGUAAUGCAAGAUAAUCCCACUCACUGGGCUUGGAGGCGCGAGAGACACGAAGGCCAUGGACUCGCCAUCAGAAAUCAUGCCAGAAAGAGGCAAUUCUUCUAUUUCAAAGGCCUCAGUUUAUUCCCACAAGGUUGCUCUGUUUGCAAAGAGGAAGCCAUAAGAUCUGAGGAGGUCCAGCCAGCCAAGGUGCCAUUCAAGUGAAGAAUGAAGAUGACCUGGAUAUAGAUUUAUACAUAUAAAAUAUAGUAUUUGUUUUUUAAAUAUUGAUAAAUUUACAUACAUUAUAGUUCUACAUCUACAUAUUUACAUUAAUAUACUUUUUACA